AGCUGUGGUAAGAACACAUGUGGAUAUCUAGUUUUCCCAACACUGUUUGCUGAAGAAACUGGCCCUUUCCCUAUUGGGUAUUUUUGGUAAUCUUGUCAAAGAUUAGGCAGGUGGAAUCUAUAUGUGAUGACAGGAGCAGUAGUAGCCACCUUGGAGUCAAAAAUUAAUGUCACAUCUGGAGGGUGAUCCCAUCAUCCGAUCUUUUUUCUGUUACAAGAUCUUUCACAUUGGAGCAUAUUUACUUGCCUCAUUAUUUUCGAUACAUAUUCCUCCAUGGUAUGUGAAGUGAAAGACUAUCUCAUUC